GCCAAGACUGCCGAAUACGUCUCGAGCUCCAUCACGAGUAAGUGCCGUCUGAUCUCCGGGCGGAGACCCCACUGGAAUUUCCUGGCCUUUCGGCCCUCAUCCAUCAAUGUCUCCGGGGCGUGUCGGCCCAGCUCCAGGAACUUACGAGCAUAGUCCGACACUGUCAUAUUUCCCUGGACCAAUUGAGCAAACUCCAUCUCCUUUAGAUGUUGGAUGUGUUUAGGGAGAUACUCUGCAUGGAAGGCCGCC
rnacentral:lncRNA from 1 species